GAUGAACGCUGGCGGCGUGCCUAAUACAUGCAAGUCGAGCGAACAGAUGAGGAGCUUGCUCCUCUGACGUUAGCGGCGGACGGGUGAGUAACACGUGGAGAACCUACCUAUAAGACUGGGAUAACGUCGGGAAACCGGAGCUAAUACCGGAUAAUAUAUUGAACCUCAUGGUUCAAUAGUGAAAGACGGUUUUGCUGUCACUUAUAGAUGGAUCCGCGCCGCAUUAGCUAGUUGGUAAGGUAACGGCUUACCAAGCCAACGAUGCGUAGCCGACCUGAGAGCGUGAUCGGCCACCCUGGAAGUGAGACACGGUCCAGACUCUUACGGGAGGCAGCAGUAGGGACUCUUCCGCAAUGGGAGAAAGCCUGACGGAGCAACGCCGCGUGAGUGAUGAAGGUCUUCGGAUCGUAAAACUCUGUUAUUAGGGAAGAACAAAUGUGUAAGUAACUAUGCACGUCUUGACGGUACCUAAUCAGAAAGCCACGGCUAACUACGUG
rnacentral:rRNA from 1 species